UACGUAGGGUGCGAGCGUUAAUCGGAAUUACUGGGCGUAAAGCGUGCGCAGGCGGUUCGUUGUGUCGGCGGUGAAAGCCCCGGGCUUAACCUGGGAAUGGCCGUCGAAACUGGCGAACUGGAGUGUGGCAGAGGGGGGUGGAAUUCCGCGUGUAGCAGUGAAAUGCGUAGAGAUGCGGAGGAACACCGGUGGCGAAGGCGGCGACCUGGUUCGAUACUGACACUGAGGUGCGAAAGCGUGGGGAGCAAACAGG
rnacentral:rRNA from 1 species